rnacentral:snoRNA from 22 species
GAGGUAUGCAUUGAGACCCACUGCCUUCAUAUGUAGGCGAGUGGGAGCAUCAGCAUCCCGAGA